CUGUGCUGAAGUGACUUGUUCAAAGCUUCCCAGCUGGUCAAAAAAGUAGUACUAAAGCAUCACCUUCUAGAGAGGGUGAUGUCUGGGAGAUGGGCUAAGUAAAGCAGUACAGCUGAAGUUAAUUAUUAGUUACAUAUCUCUCUGCAGGCCUGUGGAAUUUUUCAAUGCUGUGUCAGGCUCCCACUAAAUUAAGGUUUCCAGCUAUGACGGAUUGAUAGUGGACUCCAAUUCCAUCAUCAGCUUGAGCAUAUCAAAAAGUAAAUAUCGCCUACCACUUACAAUGAAGAGAUUUAACAACUGUAUAAAAAAAUAGGGGACAAGAGAGAGCAGCAGCCACAUCUGGAAAGUGCAAAUUCCAUACACUUCAAAUACAGCAUUAUACAUUACUUAAACAUGUCUGCUGUGAGAAGAUACAGUCCUAGAGGUGUUUUCAGUUAGACUGCAAUCUGUGUGAGCAAAUUCCUGCCAGCACAGGAAAGCAACUGGCACACUGAGUGGCAGCAGUUGUGAGCUGCAGGCCCACGAUUUUUAAAAGGGAGGCCCUGAGACCUGUUGCUAACCUCAUCCUGAGUGGUACCAGCUCUGGUUCCUAAAGGGCAGUGUGCCCCUUGAGAACUGACAGCAUCAAGACUGUAAAUCUGCAUCCUCCUAUCUGUCUCCUGUUCCAGUAUGAUGCUGAACUGUGCUGGGCAGCUGUUGCAGUUUGCAUCCUUUUUGCACAGGAUUUCAAAAGACUCAGAGCAAUGGGAAAGAGCAUGAUCUACUCACUGCUUGCUCCAGGAAAGAGCUGCAUUGAAAGGUGACAAGAAUUCCUGCAAAAUUUCAUUUUCCAUCAGCAUUUCUCAGCGGCUGGGACACCCAGGGUCAAAUAAAUCUGUGUCUGGGUCUGUGUUGUCUCAAAACAUUUCAUAUAACCAGGCAGAACACAAAAUGAGAUCCUUCUCACAGAAUUCACAAAUUGACUUCAGUAAAGGUUUUAUGAGAAUAUGUCAAGAAAAUCAUGAGAGUUUGGCAGCCUUCCUCUUCUUUUACAAAGGCUAAUUCCUUCACGUAGUUGUACAAACCGCAUUGAGGAUUUAAGUUAUGAAAUAAGACUGAAGCCUUCCUGAGAUUUUGUAUUUUUUGUGACCUCUUAGGGGAAGAAAAGUUCAUAAAAUUCCCAAAGGUUUAAAAAGAAGUAACAUCUGCUGGAGUGUGAAGCAAUGCCCAUUCCCUUUUUUUAUUCCAAAGAGAUGAUAUUACACUUCAUGUGGUUUACUCCAAAAGUUCACUGGACAGUAGACAUGAAGAUUGUCUGGCCAGAAAAGCUGAUGACACGCAGAUGAAUCUCAAGAACAAAUAUGUAUCUGAUGAGUCUGUCAGUUUACAGAUUUGGUCACUUUGUCUAACUGUUAUGGAUUCACUGGCUAUUACCAAAGUGAAACAGAGUUCAAAACAAUAACCUUUGCGUGUUCUUUAUUUAAGGCUUUUAAUGCUUCUCUGCUUUCUGCUAGAGUUACUGUUUUGCCUUACUAUACGUGGAGUGGGACUAAUGGAGGAAAAAUACAAGAAUAUGAAAGAAUGGUUGUUCUUUGAAUUUAGUUAUGCAAGGCUGA